GAGGGCUUGUAGGGGACUACUAAUCCUGAUGUCCGGAUAAAGCCGGAAGCCUUUG
rnacentral:tRNA from 1 species